rnacentral:lncRNA from 1 species
UAACUCGGAUAGAUUCGUUCUUCCCCCUAUAGUCAAAACAAUCAUUGACCAAACGUAUAUUUUCCAAAUUGUUGUUGAUUCACAAAGCUUUAGAUCAGGCACGCCAUCUUUUAAAGUCCUCAAAAUUUUUACCCUAAACAAUGAUUCAAGAGGAAAGGGUCAGAAUAGAGAUAAUAUAUUGAUAAAAUAUGAAGACCAACGUGCGUUAACUGCCAAUAAAAGGCAA